CCCUUAGAUUGUCUGGGCGGCACGCGCGCUACAAUGAUGCAUUCAAAAAGUCUUCUGACCUUAGAAGGUUGGGUAUUCUCCAAAGUGCAUCGUGAUGGGAAUAGUUUAUUGCAAUUUUUAAUCUUGAACGAGGAAUUCCUAGUAAGUACAGGUCAUCAACUUGUGUUGAUUACGUCCCUGCCCUUUGUACACACCGCCCGUCGCUCCUACUGAUUGAGUGUCUCGGUGAAUUCGUUGAUCUUCUGUCGAUUCAGUUCACUGAUCCGACGGUGGAAAGUUGAAUGAACUUCGUCACUUAGAGGAAGGAGAAGUCGUAACA
rnacentral:rRNA from 1 species